CUUGCUUUCAUAGCUCAGAUGGUUAGAGCACCCGUUUAGUAAGCGGGAGGUCUUGAGUUCGACUCUCAAUGAAAGCAAUUUUUUAUGUUCCUUUAUUUUUUUUUUCCUAUUACAUGGACUUUUGAUUUGUAUGGCUAUUUUAGACACCAUAUGCAACCACAUUGUUUGUAGUGCACCCUUAUCCAUUUCUUGUGGUGGGAACCAUAAUUUGGUAAAAUAAAAAGGGAACAUUAAGACAUAUGUCAACUUGCUUUCAUAGCUCAGAUGGUUAGAGCACCCGUUUAGUAAGCGGGAGGUCUUGAGUUCGACUCUCAAUGAAAGCAAUUUUUUAUGUUCCUUUAUUUUUUUUUUCCUAUUACAUGGACUUUUGAUUUGUAUGGCUAUUUUAGACACCAUAUGCAACCACAUUGUUUGUAGUGCACCCUUAUCCAUUUCUUGUGGUGGGAACCAUAAUUUGGUAAAAUAAAAAGGGAACAUUAAGACAUAUGUCAACUUGCUUUCAUAGCUCAGAUGGUUAGAGCACCCGUUUAGUAAGCGGGAGGUCUUGAGUUCGACUCUCAAUGAAAGCAAUUUUUUAUGUUCCUUUAUUUUUUUUUUCCUAUUACAUGGACUUUUGAUUUGUAUGGCUAUUUUAGACACCAUAUGCAACCACAUUGUUUGUAGUGCACCCUUAUCCAUUUCUUGUGGUGGGAACCAUAAUUUGGUAAAAUAAAAAGGGAACAUUAAGACAUAUGUCAACUUGCUUUCAUAGCUCAGUUGGUUAGAGCACCCGUUUAGUAAGCGGGAGGUCUUGAGUUCGACUCUCAAUGAAAGCAC
rnacentral:tRNA from 1 species